GGAAAAAAGGGAAAGUGCUGGAAAAAAGGGGAAUGUGCUGCCACAGCACACAACACGUUUCCAAAUAACACGCUUCCGUCGUCACGGCCCAUGUGGCUGCCCUGAUUCGAAGAAGAGUCCCCCCUUCUGAAGCUCAAGUAGCCGGUGACAGAAAAGAAGUCCUGGGUUUGGUGGCAGUGCCGAGGGGUGACAGGGGGCUUCUGCUGUCUCUAUCGCAGUCCUCAUAUGUUGAUGUGAACGGUUGGCAAUUUAUUCGACCGCAAUGCAUAGCACUUCCCAGGCGCCCGUCGAUUCCUUCAAGACAGCGUCUAUAUAGAAACUCCGGGUCCUUCGCACCACCCAGGUUCACCAGGAACUCCUCACGGUCCUUGACACAUCUAUAAAAUAAAUAACGCUCACAAAAACAGGGUUAUUAAAGAACUCACCCUGGACAAAAUCCUGGAACAGGUGGGCUUUGCUUGAAUUCCCCAUCUCUGUGCCUUCGCCCUUCAGACCACCUGUUCUGCUCCAGGUCCUUGAGGACUCAGGUCCCCGAUAACUGCUCUGUGAGGAACUGAAGGUUGUGUCCUCCCCCAAAAUCUGCAUGAUGAAGUCCUAACCCCAGAGGUGAUGGUGUUUGGCAGUGGGACCUCUGGGAGGUGAAUCCCACCCCGUUGAAAGAGAUUAAUCUCCUUAUAAGCAGAGACACGCAAGCUUGCCCCCACUCCCUCCUUCUCCUACAGCAAGAAGGUGGCUGUCUGCAAACCUGGAAGGGAGUCCUCACCGGGGACACCAGAUCUUCCUUCACCUUUAACUUGGACUUCCAGCCUUUUCUCUUCCUUCUUUCCCAUUUCUCAUUCUCCGCUUCCUCUCCACCCCGUGCCCACCUGUUCCCCCCCGAGUCUAACCGCAUGCCGUGCAUGACAGCUAACCACCCCCCCCUGCAUAUUAAAAUCUGCAGAUGACUGUUGAAACAUGAGCACGUCUACCGGUCCAGUCGGUUGCUAUAUCUGUUUUCAUGACAAAGUGCCCCAAAUUGAGUCGUUUAAAAUAAUAGCAAUGUAUUUUCUCAGAGUUCCAGAGGCCAGAAGUCCAAGGUCAAGGUGUCAGCAGAGCUGGUUCCUUGCAAGGGUCGUGCGAGAAUCCGUUCCAUCCUCCUCCCUUCUAGCCGCAGGUGGCUGCCAGCAGCCCCUGGCGCUCCUUGGCUUGCAGAUGCGUCACUCCAACCUCUGUCUCUGUCUGCACGUGACACCCUCCUCCAUGUCUCUUUUCUUCUAAGGACACCAGUCAUUCGAUUCGUGUCCACACUACUCCGGCAUGACCUAAUUAUAUCUGCAAAGACACUAUUUCCAAAUAAGCUCACAUUCUGAGGUCCUGGGUGCCCACGAAUUUGGGGGGACACGAUUCGACCCAGUGGAGUUGCCAAACAGCAAGAAGUUACUUUUAGGUCUGUUGACCGGACGAACGCAGGUCUGGAAGAAAGUGGGAAAUCCAUGUGCUUUUAGAAAUUGCUUCAGAGGACCCCCAGUCUUGACCGCCUGGCUCCUGUCUACCACCCACUUUGUCUUCUCAACACACACUUCGGCUGGUUCCAGCAGAUUGUCAUCGUAACGGGGUUGUCAUCUUAGCGGCCUUGGCGCAUGCGAGCGCAGAGAUCGAGGGGCAAUCCUGCUCAGAAGUGAAACUUCCUAGAGAGCUGCUGAUCGUUAAACCAUUUUUAAAAAGAUUUAAACUCAGGACACGGGGAAGUACACAGGUUCAAAGUCAGUCGGAACCAGGCUUAGAAACCGACUUCGCCUUUCAUUAGCAGCGUGGACUUGGGCCAGCCAGUUGACCUCUCACCCUGCCAGUCUCCCUGCCUAUAAAACGGCAAUAACCAGACCUCCCUGGCGGGGUUAUGCUGAGAAUGAACAAAGAGCACGUGCAAACUACCACCCCGAGUGACUGUCACGUCUAGAUGACUCUCGGUGCAUGGUGGCGUUACUAUUCUUGGCGCCUCUGCUCUGGCUGUCACCUGGGCACUCUGGCUGGAUCAGUCCACGGGGAAGCCGGCAGCCGUUAGUACCAGCAUCGACCCGCACAUCUCAGCAAGGGGAGGAGUCAGCCCGCCCAACACUUCCCGUGGGUGGCUUCCAUGGCAGUGUCCCCAAGUGUAGGAUGUCACAGCCCCGGCACACUGUUAGAGACUAAGACCCUCCACAUUCCAACGACUUGUCCUACGCAAGGGCCUCGCCCCG